UACGAUGAUAUAGAAAGAAAGCUGA
rnacentral:piRNA from 1 species